UACGUAGGGUCCGAGCGUUGUCCGGAAUUACUGGGCGUAAAGAGCUCGUAGGUGGUUUGUCGCGUUGUCCGUGAAAACUCACAACUCAAUUGUGGGCGUGCGGGCGAUACGGGCAGACUGGAGUACUGCAGGGGAGACUGGAAUUCCUGGUGUAGCGGUGGAAUGCGCAGAUAUCAGGAGGAACACCGGUGGCGAAGGCGGGUCUCUGGGCAGUAACUGACGCUGAGGAGCGAAAGCGUGGGGAGCGAACAGG
rnacentral:rRNA from 1 species